UUUUCUUUUCUCUUUUGUUUAAUUACUCUCACUGAUUUCCCGGUGAUUAGUUGAUUAAUUGUUACUAAUCUUUAGUUGUUAUUGCCUUUAUUUAGAUUGUGAAAUAACGGUGAAGAAGAAAAAACAAUAAAUUGGAAAAUGAAUCCAUAAAAAGGUUUCAAGUCAUCAUCUAGUCUCAUCUUCACCUUAAUCUCAUGAAAAGAUUAUCUUGAAUAAUCAUCCGGAAGUAGGUACAUGAUAUACCCAAAAAGAUAAUCUUUGAACCUGAAGUGAGAGAGAUUAACAAAACUGGACACAAGCAAAAGGAAAUGAUGAUACUGAUAAUUAAAUGUCCAGGAAAUGGUUAAAGAAAUUUUCUAGUGUGUAGUUUACCAUAGAUUCACAUGGGAGCUUUUACCUUAAUCCUCAUCAUCAUUUCAUACUCAAAAAUAGAUGAUCCUUGGCUUCAUUUUCAAUUCUCUAACCUCAUCAUCAGCAUCUUAAUCAUGAUCAUUUUCACAAUUACAAUUCACCAAUCAUUAAAUCAUCCUUGAUUAUCACUUACGACCAUUUUUCUCUCAUCUCUAAUCUAUUAAUUUUUAAUCUGCAGAUAAUAAACAAGGAUUAAAUGUCCAAGAAAAAGUUAAUCAAAAUGAGAAAUGAUUAAACUAAAUGUUUCAUUAAUUUGGACAAUUAGAUUUAAUUAUAACUUAAUAAUGAAAAUUAACACUUUCUCCAACUUUCUCAGCUGUUAAACUAAAUUAACUAAGCUGAUUAAAGCUUAAUCAUGUUCCAAUAUCAUAAUUAAUAUAACCUGCUGUUGGUUAAUUCAUUGAAACUGAUUAUCUAAAUUGUUGUUAUAAUCUAAUUUAAAUGAUAUUCAGUUGAUUACCAUUUAAUUGGAUUGAUUGUGAAAGUACAUUAGGAAAUAAAAUUUCUAUCAGAUUAUCAUUAA